GGGUAUCUGUGGGUUAUCUAUGGGGUCUCUAUGGGGUAUCCAUGGGGUAUCCAUGGGGUAUCCAUGGGGUCUCUAUGGGGUAUCUAUAGGAUACCUAUGGGGUCUCUAUGGGGCUCUCCAUGGGAUAUCUGUGGGGUCUCUAUGGGGUCUCUAUGGGGUAUCCAUGGGGCAGCCAUGGGGUACCCAUAGGGUACCUAUGGGGUAUCCAUGGGAUCUCUAUAGGGUACUUAUGGGUUACCUAUGGGGUCUCAAUGGGCACACUAUGGGGUCUCAAUGGGGUCUCUAUGGGGUAUCCAUGGGGCAGCCAUGGGGUAUCCAUGGGGUAUCCAUGGGGGCUCUAUGAGGUAUCCAUGUGGGCUCUAUGGGCACACUAUGGGGUCUCAAUGGGGUCUCUAUGGGGUAUCCAUGGGGUACCUAUGGGGUAUCCAUGGGAUGUCUGUAGGGUACUUAUGGGUUAUCUAUGGGGUAUCCAUGGGUUAUCCAUGGGGUAUCCAUGGGGUAUCCAUGGGGUAUCCAUGUGGGCUCUAUGGGCACACUAUGGGGUCUCUAUGGGGUCUCUAUGGGGUAUCCAUGGUCUCAAAAUGGGGUCAAUGGUGUCUUUGGGGUUAAUGGGGUCAAUACGGUUAAUGGGGGUCAUUGGGGUCAACGGGGGCUCUGGGGCAAUGGCGGUCAUUCGGGUCAAUGGGGAUUAUUGGGGUUAAUGGGGGCAUUGAAGUCAAUGGGGUUAAUGGGGUCAGUGGGGGUAAUUGGAGUCAAUGGGGUCAGUGGGAUUAAUGGGGUCAGUGGGGUCAAUAGGGUCAUAUGAGGUUAAUGGGGUCAGUGGGGUCAGUGGGGUCAAUAGGGUCAUAUGAGGUUAAUGGGGUCAGUGGGGUCAGUGGAGUAAAUGGGUUGUUGGGGUCAUAUGGGGUCAUGGGUAUCAUUAGGAUCUUUGGGAUCGGUGGGGUCAGUGGGGUCAUGCGGGGUCAUUGGGGUCAUUAUGGCCAUGUUGGAUCAUUGGGGUCAGUGGGGUCAUG
ensembl:lncRNA